rnacentral:rRNA from 1 species
GCCCAGACUCCUACGGGAGGCAGCAGUGAGGAAUAUUGGUCAAUGGCCGAGGGGCUGAACCAGCCAAGUCGCGUGAGGGAAGACGGCCCUACGGGUUGUAAACCUCUUUUGUCGGGGAGCAAAGCGAACCACGUGUGGUUCAUUGAGAGUACCCGAAGAAAAAGCAUCGGCUAACUCCGUGCCAGCAGCCGCGGUAAUACGGAGGAUGCGAGCGUUAUCCGGAUUUAUUGGGUUUAAAGGGUGCGCAGGCGGAGGUGCAAGUCAGCGGUCAAAUUGCGGGGCUCAACCCCGUACUGCCGUUGAAACUGGCAGACUUGAGUUGGCGAGAAGUACGCGGAAUGCGCGGUGUAGCGGUGAAAUGCAUAGAUAUCGCGCAGAACUCCGAUUGCGAAGGCAGCGUACCGGCGCCAGACUGACGCUGAGGCACGAAAGCGUGGGGAUCGAACAGGAUUAGAUACCCUAGUA